GGAUGGUCCAAUGGUAGUGGGUUAUCAGUACUAACAUUAGUGUCACUAAAAUUGUAUACAACCCCCACUGCUAAAUUUGACAGGCUUAAA
rnacentral:Y_RNA from 1 species